GACUGUAGCACACCAGGCUUCCCUGUCCUUCACUAUCUCCCGGAGUUUACUCAAGCUCAUAUCCAUUGAGUUGGUGGUGCCAUCCAACCAUGUCAUCCUGCCAUCCCCUUCUCCUCCUGUCCCCAAUCUUUCCCAGCAUCAGAGCCUUUUCCAAUGAGUCAUCUCUUCAUAUCAGGUGGCCAAAGUAUUGAAGCUUCAACUUCAGCAUCAGUCCUUCCAAUAAGUAGUCAGGACCACCAUGGAAAGCAGCUCUUCUCUGUCUACUGGACUGUGAGAACCCACACCCUGCAGCCAAGAGACAACUCCAGUUGCUAGAUGUGUGAACAAGGCCAUCUUCUAGCCUCCUUUCCUGGUCCAGCUGCAGAUGAUUGCAGCCUUGAGAGUGACCUUAGGAGAGACCAGCAGAAGUGCUGCCCAGGUGACCUCAGCCCACAUGGUUGACUCCCAGCUUUCCUGUAUCCUCCAUUAAAGCACAAACAGAGAAGAAUUUCAGCAUGUUUCCUGAAGAACCUUUUUGCAUUUACCCAGUCUUUGGACUGUCAGGACCAGAUGAGGAGUGAGAAGCUCUGAGAGGUUUUGUGAGUUGCCCAAGGACUCUCCACUGACAACUGGCUGACUUGAGAAAUGGAACACACUACUUCAAACUCUGAGACCACUCACCGUCCUCUCC
ensembl:lncRNA